rnacentral:rRNA from 1 species
GUUAGUAGCAAAUAUUCAAAUGAGAACUUUGAAGACCGACGUGGAGAAGGGUUCCAUGAGAACAGCAUUUGGUCAUGGGUUAUCCGAUCCUAAGGCAUAGGGAAAUUCCUUGUAAUACAAGAGCAAUUUGCUCGUUGCCGAAAGGGAAUGAGGUUAAUAUUCCUCAGACUGGACGUGGAUAUUGUAUGGUAACAUAAGUGAGCCCGGAGACAUCGGUAUGAACUCCUGGAAGAGUUAUCUUUUCUUUUUAACAAUCUAUCGCCCUGAAAUGGGAUUAUCCCGAGCUAGGGCUUUAUGGUUGGCAGAGCAUCGCACUCUAUGCAAUGUCAGGUGCGUUCAUAACGAUCCUUGAAAAUCCGGGUAAGAGAUUUAUUCUCACGCCAGGUCGUACCAAUAACCGCAUCAGGUCUCCAAGGUUAGCAG